UACUGAACAAGACAAACUCCUUCAAGAUGCCCUCUGCUAACUGGUUACAAAGUCUGAUGCCUUCAUUUAAGAGACAGAAGAGAUGAAGAGGGAGGGAAUAAAAAGCCUACCCAUGGGCCUAUACUUUCCCCAAACCCAUCACAGGUUUUUCUUUUGGUCUGAAAUUUGGUGUGAGAGAUGCAACAGGUUAGGGGAAUGAGCUUAUUACAAAGGAAAAGCAGAGGAGAAUACAAGUUGGGGAAGAAAACAUGACAUGGCAAAAAAGGAGGGAGAAAAUAUGGGCAACCGAAUAGCGGGUAAUGGGAAGAACAGGGCCCAAACUGGCCAAGAGGCAGAAAGAGCUCGGACACUGUCCACCUCACAGGAAUGUUUUCAGAAUUAAGUGAGAGAAAGAAGGAAACUGUAGAGCAACACACCCAUGGGUAUCUCUCAUUAAAUGGCAGUGAUCACCAUUAUUAUUAAUUCUUUAAUAGCUCUUUGUGAUGGGUAUUACCAAAAACUAUUAAAAACUUGUUUUAUUUUUUAUUUUUGAAACAGAGUCUUGAUCUGCUACCCAGGCUGGAAUGCAGUGAGUGGCAUGAUCUCGGGUCACUGUAGCCUUGACUUCUAGGCUCAAGUGAUCCUCCCACCUUAGCCACCUGAGUAGCCGAGACUACAGGCAUGCACCACCAUACCUGGCUAAUGUUUUCUAUUUAAUUUGUGUAGAUGGGGGGUCUCACUAUGUUGCCCAGGCUGGUCUUGAACUCCCGGACUCAAGCAAUCCUCUUACCUCAGCCUCCCAGAGUGCUGGGAUUAUAAGUGUAAGCCACCAAAAAGUUUGCUUUAGAUACAGAGAGAGUUUUUUUGUUUGUUUUGUUUUGUUUUUUGUUUUUUAAGGCAGAGUUUUGCUCUUGUUGCCCAGGCUGGAGUGCAAUGGCACGAUCUCGGCUCAAUGCAACCUCCGCCUCCCGGGUUCAAGCGAUUCUCCUGCCUCAGCCUCCUGAGUAACUGGGACUACAGGCAUGCGCCAUUAUGCCUGGCUAAUUUUGUACUUUUAGUAGAGAUGGGGUUUCACCAUGUUGGUCAUGCUGGUCUUGAACUCCCGACCUCAGGUGAUCCGCCCGCCUCGGCCUCCCAGAGUGCUGGGAUUAUAGGCGUGAGCCAUCGCACCCGGCCAGAGAUUUUUUAAACAUUGUCUACACCAUGAAGUCAUACUUUGUGUUUAAAAAAGAUGACUUCAUAGUUUUACACGAUAUCUGAUGGCAAUUUUCACAAGGUGGAAUGUAGGGAGAGCUCUUAAUCAGCCCUCUCCCUCUGGAAACAGGCAGUAACUUCUCCAGUGAAAUGAUAUUACCAUUAUUGCUUCAUUUCCUGAGGUUAGAACUGGUUCUUGGUCAUCAUAAGUUUGCCUACCUGCCUACAUGUUUGCAUCCCCUCGAAACUUUUAUGUUGAAAUCCUAACCCUCAAUGUGACGGUAUUAGGAGGUGGAGCCUUUGAAGGUAUUGGGUUAGGGGGUAGAAAUCCUCAUGAAAAGGAUUAGUGUUCUUAAAGAGAACCUCAAAAGCUGCCUAACUUUUCUCUACCAUAUGAGGAUACAGCAAGAAGACAGUUGUCUGGAAACCAAGAAAUGCAUCCUCACCAGACCUGAAGCUGCCAGCACCUUGAUCUCAUAUUUGUAGCCUCCAGAACUGUGAGAAAUAAACUUCUGUUGUUUAUAAGCCAUCCAAUUCAUGGUACUUUGUUAUAGCAAACUGAAGAAAGUCUAGAGACACUGGCUGAUACAGCUAUGACACCUGGAGUGCAGUUAAUGAAAAGUGGACUAUAUAUGAAAAUAACACUAAUAUAGGGGUUGCAGAUAAAGAGGAAUGCUCUUUUAUCUAGUUUAUGGUAAACACUUAAAGGCAAAAGGCUACUCUAAAAUCUUUUUACAGAUGAGGAACCAAGGCCAAGAGUUCAUUCACAGAAGCCAGGCUCUCUCAAAUCCAGUACUGACAAUAUUCCAAGCUGCCUCCUAGAGGCAGGAGUCGUACUGUUCAUGUUCAACUUGGUAGUGCUAAGAAACCAACCUAGAAAAAAACAAAAGUGAGGGCAGUCUAGGCCCUAGAGGUGACAUGUUGGCAUGGGCCCAAUUCUGCUGGUCCUUUAGUAUACAAAAAAAAUAAAGGUUUACCAGUAUGUCACUACAUGCAGAUUUAUGGAUUGUACAGAAAAUUGGUGAUUCCCAAAUUUCACUGUGCAUCAAAAUAAUCGAUGGAACUUUAAAGACUAAAGAUUUCUAGACCCCACCCCAGGCCCGAUGAUUUAGAAUAUCUAGAGGGGGACCCAAGAAUCUAUAUAUUUAAGUGCCCCACCCACAACCAUGACCUUUAAGCAGGUAGUUUGCAUUUGGGAACCACUGCUACAGGUUACUAGUGGGACAACCAGUUAGGAGCAUAAGUUUGAACAUUUUACAGUUUGUCACCUGUGAUAGCUUAUCACCUGUGAUAUAACCAGAAAUCCAAUUAAGAUUGCUAUCUCUCUGUAAUCUGUUUGCAAUUUAGGUGUUAAUUUUUUUGAAAGUUCAGAAAAAAGUAGACAAAACAGAAAAGGAAUCAAGUACAAACAAUUACAUAAUGACAAAAAACGUAUUACACUUGUAUUAAACUUCAAAACUGGAGAAUAAAGGUGCAAUAUGAAAAUAAUUAAAUGCUAAGUGAAAUAAUAUCAAAUGUAGUUGACCCUGAAGAAAAUUCAAUAGUGAGGGAUCCCUAACCUGUGGGCCCUCAGGAAUUACUGUGAAUGGUCUUGAGAAUCCACUGGAAAAGACCAAGCAUUGUUACCUGAAUAUCAAACUUUUUUUUUUUUUGAGAUCUGUCACCCAGGUUGGAGUGCAGUGGCAUGAUCUCAGCUCACUGCAACCUCCCCCUCGUGGGUUCAAGCGAUUCUCCUGCCUCAGCCUCUGGAGCAGCUGGGACUACAGGUGUGCACCGCCAUGCCCAGCUAAUUUUUGUAUUUUUAGUAGAGCUGGGGUUUCACCAUAUUGGCUAGACCGGUCUCAAACUCCUGACCUUGUGAUCCAACCGCCUCAGCCUGCCAAAGUGCUGGGAUUACAGGUGUGAGCCACCAUGCUCGGCUAUGAAUAUCAAGCUUUAGAUAGUCACUUAAAGCUGCUAUUGGAUGAAUUCAGGUAGCUUUUUAUCAUGUGUACUUUCUUAAUCAGAGAAUAAAACAGAAAAAUUCUGAUGCAGGGGCCUACAAUUUUAUUUGUUUCCUAAGUUCUCAUUGGAAAAGUUAGGAUCUCCUGGUCUACAAAGUGGGCAGGCAGUCCCAUCCCCAGGGGUGGAGGACAAUAUUAACAACUCUCAGAAGGCCAGUGACAGAAGAACAGAGAGUAAGAGAAGCUUUACUUGAGGCUGUUCAAGCAUCCCACCUAUUUCUCGAUAAAAUGACUGACCAGGUUUGCCCUCAGGUCACCUAAGUACACCCUUUAAUAAUCUCCUGUCUCCUCCAGAAGAUACUUUUGGUUCCACAACAAGAAAUACAACUUUAAUUUUAAAUACUGGUUGAAGUGUACCAUAGAAUGGUAUGUAAUUUAAAUUAUUAAUCCAAAUGAUUAGAGUAUGGAAAAUCCUGAAUUGGGAGAAGGAGGGUUGAAAUUAAGAUACUAAAGAAAGAUGGGGAGAGGUGACAGCAUGCUGGCAGCCCUCGCUCGCUCCUGGUGCCUCCUCAGCCUUGGUGCCCACUCUGGCCGCGCUUGAGGAGCCCUUCAGCCCCCUGCUGCACUGUGGAAGCCCCUCUCUGUGCUGGCUGAGGCUGGAGCUGGCUCCCUCUGUUUGCAGGGAGGUGUGGAGGGAGAGGCGCGGGUGGGAACUGGGGCUGCGCGCAGUGCUCAUGGGCCAGGGAGAGUUCCGGGUGGGCGUGGACUUGGCAGCCCCGCACUCGGAGCGGCCGGCCAGCGCCACUGGCCCCAGGCAGUGAGGGGCUUAGCACCCCAGCCAGCAGCUGCAGAGGGUGCGCCUGGUCCCCCAGCAGUGCCAGCCUGCCAGCAACAGGCUCGAAUUCUCGCCAGGCCUCAGCUGCCUCCCUGUGGGGCAGGGCUUGAGACCUGCAGCCUGCCAGGCCUGAGCCUCCCCUCCACCCCUGCAGUGGGCUCCCACGUAGCCUGAGCCUCCCCGAUGGGGACCACCCCCUGCUCCACGGCUCCCGGUCCCAUCGCCUGCCCAAGGGUUGAGGAGUGUGGGCGCACAGUGCGGGACUGGCGGGCAGCUCCGCCUGCAGCCCCGGCACAGGAUCCACUAGGCAAAGCCAACUGGGCUCCUGAGUCGAGUGGGGACUUGGAGAACUUUUACGUCUAGCUGGAGGAUUGUAAAUGUACCAAUCAGCAUUCUGUGUCUAGCUAAAGGUUUGUAAAUGCACCAAUCAGUGCUCUGUGUCUAGCUAAUCUAGUGGGGACUUGGAGAACUUUUGUGUCUAGCUCAGGGAUUGUAAACGCACCAAUCAGCACCCUGUCAAAGCAGACCAAUCAGCUCUCUGUAAAACAAACCAAUCAGCUCUCUGUAAAAUGGACCAAUCAGUAAGAUGUGGGUGGGGCCAGAUAAAGGAAUAAAAAGCAGGCUGCCAGAGCCAACAGUGGCAACCCGCUCAGGUCCCCUUUGACACUGUGGAUGCUUUGUUCUUUCACUCCUUGCAAUAAAUCUUGCUGCUGCUCACUCUUUGGUUCCGCACUGCCUUUAUGAGCUGUAACACUCACCACGAAGGUCUACAGCUUCACUCCUGAACCCAGCGAGACCACGAACCCACCAGGAGGAAUGAACAACUCCGGAUGGGAGGAUCGAACAGCUCCAGACGUGCUGCCUUAAAAGCUGUAACACUCACCGUGAAGGUCUGCAGCUUCACUCCUGAAGCCAGCAAGACCACGAACCCACCAGAAGGAAGAAACUCUGAACACGUCCCAACAUCAGAAGGAACAAACUCCGGAUACACUAUCUUUAAGAACUGUUAACACUCACUGUGAGGGUCCGCGGCUUCAUUCUUGAAGUCAGUGAGACCAAGAACCCACCAAUUCCGGACACAAUGGGAGCAGAAAAGUACAUUUCAUAAUUUUGCAUUAAGUCUACCCGGUCUUCACCUGAGCACUUAUUUUAAUUGGGAUUCUCUAAACUGGGUCAUCUCAGUUUUGUGUAAUAUGAUUUUUUUAAAACCAGCCAACCAAAGUAUCAUUGGGGUUACAGAAAUAAGUAUAAGACUGUGCCUUUUUAAAAAAACCCACUUAUCCCUGUUUGAAGACAUUGAAAUUUAACUGUGAUUAGAACCUCUGCAUGAGAGGAUGUAACUGAGAAAGUGAAGAGACCAGGCCUAUACCUUUCACAUUUUCCUACACAGAGGUUUAAGGUUUAUUUGUAACUAAAAGCACUUCUCAAAAUAUAAGCAGAAUACAUACAAGGCAAAAAGAAAAAGAUAACAGUUUUUUCUUCUAAUCAAAAUAAAUAUUACUCUGAUACAGAUUUUAAGAAAAACGAGUCAUUUCUACUUUAACACAAUAUUUUCUUCUUUCUAUAAAGGAUUCUGACUUCACACAGGUAUGUAAACAAUAGAAGCGGGGAUGGCCAUGAGCCACGACACUUCUGUCAUACAGGAAGCUGUGUCUGUUAACUGACAGGAAACUCUCCAUUGAAUAAACGCAAUGAACAAGGACUCACUUCUGACAGCUUUUCCUACAAUCCUGGAGACAUUUUCUCCCUAAUGACCACUGGACAGCGUGGCUACAUAUCUUAUGCCUCAAUAUUAUAUUGAAGCCUAGUACUGCAGAGACUGUGUGAAGAGACCACAUCAAGAAUGAGAAUUAGCCAAGAAGCCCAAGGUGUUCCAGCCCUCAGCUGUGGGGCUUCCCAGCCCAGGUGGAAAACCAGACAUGUAAGUGAGGAAGGCUUCACAUGACUCCAGUCCUAGCCCCCGUGACUGCAUUAGAAAGCUUCAGUAGGAACCAACCAGCUGAGCCCAGCCCCAAACUCUAUAUCUAUGAAAGAUUAUAAUCAUAAUAAAAAAUGGUGGUUUUUGUUUAGA